CAAGGAAGUGCUGUAACUGAAAAAGCUACAGAGUCAACAGAAGAUAGUAUCCAUCUCCUUCCAGCUCUGUCUUUGAAAAAGCUCACAGGUGUGGGAUUUGGGAUAUGGCCCUAUCAACUUGUUGCAACAGAAGCUCCACCAACUGGUGGAAUUGCCCUGGAAUUCUGCAAUACCACAGAUGGGGAGGCUUGAAUAUUCCUGGACUGACUCAGCCUGUUCACGUUGCCUGGCUUAUAAGACAAUAGACGAUUCUUUCUUGCUCGUGGAGAUCCAAAAUUAAACGUAAAGGAGGUCACAUACUAACAAAUGGAACUACUGCCUUUUAGACAAACCCCCAGACUGAACUGUGAUCAUAUUAAG